GUUUGUGGGGAAAUUUACUGAAGAUAAGCUGGGGCAAAAACAUUCAAUACGCCCCCUGUUAGUGUUACGAUUUCUGAGUAGUAAUACGUGAUAGUGAGAGUGUCCUGGCUAUUUCUUUUUUUUUUUCAUUACU